GGUUGACCUCGGAUCAGGUAGGAGUUACCCGCUGAACUUAAGCAUAUCAAUAAGCGGAGGAAAAGAAACCAACCGGGAUUGCCUCAGUAACGGCGAGUGAAGCGGCAAGAGCUCAAAUUUGAAAUCUGGCCCCCUCGGGGUCCGAGUUGUAAUUUGCAGAGGAUGCUUCGGGUGCGGUCCCCAUCUAAGUGCCCUGGAACGGGCCGUCAUAGAGGGUGAGAAUCCCGUCUGGGAUGGGCGGCCGCGCCCGUGUGAAGCUCCUUCGACGAGUCGAGUUGUUUGGGAAUGCAGCUCUAAGCGGGUGGUAAAUUUCAUCUAAAGCUAAAUACUGGCCGGAGACCGAUAGCGCACAAGUAGAGUGAUCGAAAGAUGAAAAGCACUUUGAAAAGAGAGUUAAACAGCACGUGAAAUUGUUGAAAGGGAAGCGUUGUCCACCAGACUCGCCCGGGGGGGUUCAGCCGGCACGUGUGCCGGUGUACUCCUCUCCGGGCGGGCCAGCAUCGGUUUGGGCGGCUGGUGAAAGGCCCCGGGAAUGUACCACCCUCCGGGGUGUCUUAUAGCCCGGGGUGCCAUACAGCCAGCCUGGACCGAGGCCCGCGCUUCGGCGAGGAUGCUGGCGUAAUGGUGGUCAACGGCCCGUCUUGAAACACGGACCAAGGAGUCUAACAUCUAUGCGAGUGUUCGGGUGUCAAACCCGUCCGCGCAGUGAAAGCGAACGGAGGUGGGAGCCCCUCGGGGCGCACCAUCGACCGAUCCUGAUGUCUUCGGAUGGAUUUGAGUAAGAGCAUAGCUGUUGGGACCCGAAAGAUGGUGAACUAUGCCUGAAUAGGGCGAAGCCAGAGGAAACUCUGGUGGAGGCUCGCAGCGGUUCUGACGUGCAAAUCGAUCGUCAAA
rnacentral:rRNA from 1 species